rnacentral:rRNA from 1 species
UACGUAGGGUGCAAGCGUUAAUCGGAAUUACUGGGCGUAAAGCGUGCGCAGGCGGUGAUGUAAGACAGAUGUGAAAUCCCCGGGCUCAACCUGGGAACUGCAUUUGUGACUGCAUCGCUGGAGUGCGGCAGAGGGGGAUGGAAUUCCGCGUGUAGCAGUGAAAUGCGUAGAUAUCUGGAGGAAUACCGGUGGCGAAGGCGGCAUCCUGGACCGGCAUUGACGCUGAGGAGCGAAAGCCAGGGGAGCAAACGGG